CUCCUGCCCUCCUCACAGAGCAGUCCUGGGGUGCAGGCAGGAGAAUGUGGAGCUCCUGGAGUCUUGUUCAGGCUCAGGUGAACCAGCCAUGAAUGUCCCCAAACCAGCACCAAGCUGCCACUCUGGUCAUCCCAGGUCCCCAAGUAAUACUGAAAGGAUCUCCUGCUCAAGCAGCCAGACAGCAGCUUGUAAUAACAGAGGCACAAAACCAGCACAAGAGAUUUCCUGGUUUGACUAGGAUUUGUGUGCAGGAAAUCUCCUCCUGAGCCCGUGUGAGUGCAGAGGAACUUUGCAGCCCAGCAAAGCCCCAGCUCCCCUGCACGAGCAGGAUAAAGGAGCAGUCAGUGUGUCCCAGCCCUGUCCCACUGAAGGCUUCUGGGGGAGCACUCAGCCCCUCACUCUCUGCGAGCCCUGGCUGCCAUCCAGGGCAGCACCAACGUGGGACCAGCAUUCCCUGACUUGCACCCUCUGGAAGUUUGCUGGUUCUCUGCCUCCAUCUGAUGAGCUGGGUGUGGAGGAGGGGAGCUGUGGAUACUGCACUGCAAAGGGAAGCAAUUCCAGGAGGUGCCUGGGAGAGGCUGAGGAGUUUUCCAUGGCAUUUCCAAACCAGAGCGCUCUGGAGCUGUUCCUGAGUUUAUUAGCACUGAGCCCUCUUAAUUCCAAGAGGCUGCUCCAUGGCCACUCGGGAGAUAAGGGAAGAUUAAACAGAGGAGCAUAAGUGCUUGAAGAUGAAUCCUUAAUACCUGUGAUGAAAAGGAGGCUGGAUUAAGUGAGAGUUACACCUCUGUGAGCUUCAUUUCAGAGCAGGGAUAGCUGAUCUCACCCUCAGCUUCCCCCAGCUGCCACUGGAAAUCAGCUGGAGAAAAGUUCAAGCCAUUCUGGCAUUAAGCUAAAAUCUCUUCUGGAGGUUUACAUUUAAAAAAAAUAGUUGUGUAAGAGACUGAGUGGAAUAUUGAUCGAGACUCUCAGGAUCUGGUGGCAAAAGGAUUGUUUGAAGGGUGGCAUGACUUUUGUAAACACACAAGGGAUAAAAAUGAUGAAUGAUGAAUGCUCUGUCAAAGAAUUGCCUUUUUAAAAAGAAGAUACUCCUUCCUGUAGAAAGCCUCUUACAGAGAGCUAAAGAGAAGUGGUAAAGUGUGAGAAAUAGUCCUGGUUCUUUUACUGCACUCUGAAAAAUAAGGACAGAACUUGCUGAAAUAGACAGGAUCCUACUGUUGGUGGGAAGG